GUGUUGCCUGCAAGGGCGUAUGGUGGAUGCCUUGGCAGACAGGACCGAUGAAGGACGUUUGAGGCUGCGAUAUGCCUCGGGGAGCCGCCAACAGGGCUUUGAUCCGAGGAUUUCCGAAUGGGGGAACCCACCGGCCGUCAUGGGCCGGUACCGCCGUGUGCGGGGGGUACGCAGGGAAGUGAAACAUCUCAGUACCUGCAGGAAAGGAUAUUCCGUGAGUAGUGGCGAGCGAAAGCGGAUCAGGCCAAACCUUGCGCGUGUGAUACCCGUCGGGGGUUGCGCGCGGGGUGUAGAGGGAUCGCGUUUGCCGGCUCCGACGGGCCGGCCGUCAGUUGCAUAAAACCAUGUGCCAGGGGAACCGGGUUGAAUACCGGGCCGCAGAGGGUGAGGGCCCCGUACCCGAACGCGCAUGGUCUGGCGAUCGCGUCUCCCAAGUAGCACGGGCCCCGUGGAAUCCCGUGCGAAUCUGUCCCGACCGUGGGAUAAGCCUAAAUAUUCCUGUCUGACCGAUAGCGAACGAGUACCGUGAGGGAAAGGUGAAAAGUACCCCGGGAGGGGAGUGAAACAGUCUCUGAAACCAUGCGCCUACGAACCGUCGGGGCCCUCUUGUGGGGUGACGGCGUGCCUAUCGAAAAAUGAGUCUGCGAGUCAGUGGCAUGUGGCGAGCAUAACCCGUGUGGGGUAUGCGUAGCGAAGGCGAGUCUUAAAAGGCGUUUGAGUCGCGUGUCCUGGACCCGAAGCGGGAUGAUCUAGCCCUGAGCAGGUUGAAGCGCGGGUAAGACCGUGUGGAGGACCGAACCCACCUGGGUUGAAAACCGGGGGGAUGACUUGGGGCUAGGGGUGAAAGGCCAAUCAAAUUCCGUGAUAGCUGGUUCUCUCCGAAAUGCAUUUAGGUGCAGCGUCGGAUCGAUUACAUCCGGGGGGUAGAGCGACUGGAUGCUUGCGGGCCCAUAUCGGGUACCAACAGCAACCAAACUCCGAAUACCCGUGAUGCGUAUCCCGGCAGUGAGUCGGCGGGGGAUAAGCUCCGUCGUCGAAAGGGAAACAGCCCAGAUCGUCGUCUAAGGUCCCCAAGCGUGUGCUAAGUGGGAAAGGAUGUGGAGUCGCAUAGACAGCCAGGAGGUUGGCUCAGAAGCAGCCACCCUUGAAAGAGUGCGUAACAGCUCACUGGUCUAGUGGUUCCGCGCCGACAAUGUAGCGGGGCUCAAGCACACCACCGAAGACGCGGCAGUAGCUUUGCUACUGGGUAGGAGAGCGUCCCAUGCGGGGCGAAGCGGCGGCGCAAGCCCGCCGUGGACCGCAUGGGAGUGAGAAUGCAGACAUGAGUAGCGAAAGACGGGUGAAGAUCCCGUCCGCUGGACGACCAAGGGUUCCAGGGCCACGUUCAUCGUCCCUGGGUGAGUCGGGUCCUAAGGCGAGGCCGACAGGCGUAGUCGAAUGGACGAACGGGUCGAUAUUCCCGUACCGGCAUGCAACCGGCAAAACCGAAUCCGCGAGUACUAACUUCCGGGUCCGGGCUUACGUCUCCUUCGGGAGCCGGAUGCCCUGGCCUGUUGGGACCGUAACGGUAGUAGGUCAGCGCGGGAGUGACGCAGAAGGGUAGCCGGCCGCGGAGGUGGUCUUCCGUGGUCAAGCACGCAGCCCGUCCCACAGGCAAAUCCGUGGGGCGCGUGGGCGAGGUGCGAUGAUGGGCGCCGCAGGGCGCGAUAUCCGGUGAUCCCGGCUGCCGAGAAAAGCUUCGGCGUGAGGCGGCAUGCCGCCCGUACCCCAAACCGACACUGGUGGUCAGGUAGAGAAUACCAAAGCGAUCGAGCGAAUCCUGGUCAAGGAACUCGGCAAAUCACUCCCGUUCCUUCGGUUUAAGGGAGACCCCCGAUGGUGAAGCGGCUUGCCCGCGGAGCUUUUGGGGGUGGCACAGACCAGGGGGUAGCGACUGUUUACCAAAAACACAGGAGCGUGCGAAGGCGCAAGCCGCUGUAUACGCUCUGACGCCUGCCCGGUGCCGGAAGGUUAAGAGGAUCCGUCAGGCCUCGGCCGAAGCGGUGAAUUCAAGCCCCGGUAAACGGCGGUGGUAACUAUAACCAUCCUAAGGUAGCGAAAUUCCUUGUCGGGUAAGUUCCGACCUGCACGAAUGGCGUAACGACUUCCCCACUGUCUCGACCAGGAGCUCGGCGAAAUUGCAGUACGAGUAAAGAUGCUCGUUAAGCGCAGAAGGACGAAAAGACCCCGGGACCUUUACUAUACCUUGGUAUUGGCAUUCGGUGUGGAUUGUGUAGCAUAGGCGGAAGGCUUCGAAGCCACGGCGCCAGCCGCGGUGGAGCCGCAAGGUGAAAUACCGCUCUGUUCGCAUUGGAUGUCUAACCUCGACCAGUCAUCCUGGUCAGGGACAGUGCCUGGCGGGUAGUUUAACUGGGGCGGUUGCCUCCCAAAGAGUAACGGAGGCGCUCAAAGGUUCCCUCAGCCCGGUUGGCAAUCGGGUGGCGAGUGUAAGUGCACAAGGGAGCUUGACUGCGAGACUGACGGGUCGAGCAGGGACGAAAGUCGGAACUAGUGAUCCGGUGCCGGUGUACGGACGCGGCAUCGCUCAACGGAUAAAAGGUACCCCGGGGAUAACAGGCUGAUCAUUCCCAAGAGUCCAUAUCGACGGGAUGGUUUGGCACCUCGAUGUCGGCUCGUCGCAUCCUGGGGCUGGAGCAGGUCCCAAGGGUUCGGCUGUUCGCCGAUUAAAGCGGCACGCGAGCUGGGUUCAGAACGUCGUGAGACAGUUUGGUCUCUAUCCUCUGCGCUCGUCGGAAUGUUGAGGAGGCCUGCCCAUAGUACGAGAGGACCUGGGUGGACGAACCUCUGGUAUGCCGGUUGUCACGCCAGUGGCACGGCCGGUUGGCUACGUUCGGAAGGGAUAACCGCUGAAAGCAUCUAAGCGGGAAGCCUGCUCCAAGAUAAGCAUUCCAUAGGACUACGGGUCCUUGAAGUCCCCAUGCAGAACACGUGGUUGAUAGGCCGGACGUGGAAGCCCCGCGAGGGGUGGAGCCGACCGGUACUAACGGACGAAAGG
rnacentral:rRNA from 1 species